rnacentral:lncRNA from 1 species
GGCGGGGCGGAAGGGAGGAGCCAGGGUCUUCCUCCUCAUUUCUCUCUGCUUUAGUGGCAACUUGGGAAGUGGUUGGGUCACCGCCAGGGUUCCAGCUCCCAUGGGCAGCCCCCUGCCUGACUGUGGUUCCGGUGUCCCACACCUAGUCUGGUUCCCAGGCUUUGGGUAUCGGCACUUCCUCCCCGGUCUCUGGAGUCCCAGGUUGUCACAGCUGCCUGCCGCUGCUUGUCGACAGGAUCUCAUGUUAUUUAGGCUUGUCUGGGACUCCUGGCCUCAAGCAAUCCUCCUGCCUCGGCCUACCGAAGUGCUGGGAUUACAGGCAUGAGCCACUGCACCCGGCCACCAGCAUUUGUUAAAGUCUCACCACGGAUCAGGCUCUCAUCUAAAAAACUUGAAGUUGUCAUUCUGUGUCCUUACAGUAACCCCUCAAGGUAGGUGUCACUCUCAUCUCCAUUUUACAAAUGAGAAAAGAGGCUAACUAAGGGAAGUUAAAGAGCUUGCCGAAGAUCACAUAGCCAGAAUUUUAAUCCGAGGAUCUGGAGCCUCUUUUGCGGUGCCAUCAAAGGCUUGCUGGCUCCCCCUGGUGUGCCCUCAAGGCAGCUGCCUGUGACUGUCCUGUAGGGGAAGCUUUGCAGAUAGGGGACCUUUGUAGAUCGUCGAUAUCCUGGGCUCUGCGCAUGCUGUGGUUCCUCUGCCUGAAAUGCUCUUCCUGCCUCUUCUUCUUC